UACGAAGGGGGCUAGCGUUGCUCGGAAUCACUGGGCGUAAAGGGUGCGUAGGCGGCGGGGCAAGUCUGAUGUGAAAUCCCGGGGCUCAACCCCGGAACUGCAUUGGAUACUGCCUUGCUUGAGUACUGGAGAGGAGACUGGAAUUUACGGUGUAGCAGUGAAAUGCGUAGAUAUCGUAAGGAAGGCCAGUGGCGAAGGCGAGUCUCUGGACAGUUACUGACGCUGAGGCACGAAGGCCAGGGGAGCAAACGGG
rnacentral:rRNA from 1 species